CCAACUCCUCAGUCCUCAUCACCACCAACACUUCGUCACUAUCUCAUCAAACCCCAAAUACGUUCUGCCGUCGCACCUCCACUCGAGAACCAUCGGUGUCGGCACUCCUCUUCCACACUCACCGCUCCUCUGAUCCCGUCGCUCACCGCUCCUCUGUUCCCGUCGCUCACCGCUCCUUUGAUCCCGUCGCUCACCAUCAGUCGUCUUCGCGGCGUGCUGACAUCGGUCGUCAGCAUCGUCCUCUGAUCCCGUCGCUCACCAUCGUGGUGGAGAAGAAACUGAUGACAGGAGAGGACCAUCAUUAAGAGCUAAGAUUGUAGGAAGUAAUCACAAGAACAAGAACAAGAAUAAAGCUAAGGUGGGGUUAGCAAGACGAAGCAAUCACAAGAACAAUUCUUUUGAAAAAUGUUUCAUCCAUCUCAGGCAUCCAUUUUCCAUAACCUCCACCCCGGAUCAUAAUUACCCAAGUGUUCAUAUUAAGAUACUUGGUGAUUGGACUGGAAAUCUGAAAGCCAAAUUCGUUAAGGUGAAUU